GAUGAACGCUGGCGGCGUGCCUAAUGCAUGCAAGUCGAACGGACAUGCAUUGAGGAACCGCGGCGGACGGGUGAGGCACGCGUGGGAACGUCCCUAGUGGUGGAGUAUAGUCUUCCGAAAGUAGCUGCAAUGCUGCAUAAACACUCACGGGAAACGGGCUUAACCGCUCGCCGAGAGAGUGGCCCGCGGCUUAUCAGUUUGUUGGUGAGGUAUUGGCGUACCAUGACUAUGACGGUUAGCUGAGCUGGGAGGACGGCCAGCGAGAAUGGAACUGAGGCACGGUCCAGACAUGGGCGGAUGGCAGCAGCCGGAAAGCUUGGUCAGUGGGGAAAACCCUGAUCCAGCGACGCCGCGUGGGGAGGGAAGGACUUCUGAUUAUAAACUCCUGCUGGCCCGCGUGGUGCGGGCAGAAUAAGCCCCGGCCAACUACGUG
rnacentral:rRNA from 1 species